rnacentral:lncRNA from 1 species
UAAUAGAUGAACGCUCCCUCUUUCUCUUUUUUUUUUUCUCUCUCUCAAUGUCUUACAACUGCAGAUGAAUGGCAAUUCUUUCCAGUUGAAUCCUAGAUAUUUGAAGUCAUGCUGAACCCUAGCAAUGGUCUGAAGAAACUACCAUCGGUGUUCAGCAUCUUCCAUAGCAGUGGCAUCUACGUGGAAUGACUCAACUUUUGAGCUCUCAUUGUGAACCUGAAGCAACUCCUUGCAGUUUCACACCGUUGUGGGAAUACAGGCAAGGUGGAGAUGGAGACAAACUUGGUGCUUAAUAAGAAGCUAUGGAAUUAAAGAAAAGACAGCAUACAGCAUUCAGCUCACGUUCACUGUGUUCCUCCUCUGUAUUCUACCAGUGGCUCAGAUAUAGAAGCAGCUUGAAGGAAAAUGUUGGGUGGCCAAGAAAAUCCAUCCUUUCUCAGCAGAAAACGAAGCCAGAAAAACCAGAGAUCCGGGGGCACUGUUGCUGGGUCAGUCAGCCAUGCAGAACAAAGGGGCGCUCUGAUUGGAGGGUGUUGCCAGCAGAAAAAAAGGAGCACUCUGAUUGGAGGAUGGUGACUACGAAACUCAGGAUGUAGAAAAUUGGACCAAGGCAAACAGAAAACUUCUGCAAAAGAAACCAGCGCAACAUUAGGGGCUACAGUCAGUGCAGAUGUCGCACAGAAAUUAUAUUCAGGGACAAGGACAUUGUGUAGUGCAUGAGCUCUCUGUGGGAAGCAAAGAGUCAGGGAUGAAGAGAAGAUGAAAGAAUAUUGCGCGGUGCAGAGGAA